UUGCUCCCUUUUAUGUUGAAGUGUAAGGUAUUGAUAUUUACCUCUUUGCUGAUAAAUUUGCAACAGUGAAAGAAAUAAUGUCAUUACAGUCUUAAAUUUUUUUAAGGUGACAUUUUAGAACUGAUAGAGUAAUAAAGAACUUCCCUUGUAAGUUAUUUUUUUAAAUUCUAUUUUCCUUUUCUAUGUAUUUCCUUCUAACUAGACUUGUGAUACGAAUGUGUUAAGGUGCAGACAUUUUUUAUGUUUUUGUUAUAUUCUGUCAUUGAGCCAGUCAGUCAUUAAGGGUGUCUGUUAUGCCAAAAUCUACGUGGGAGACAAUCUCUUUAGAACCUAAUCACUAUUUGUGAUUAGCUGUGGUAUUGUUGUGAUGAGGCAUUUCUUUCUUUGUACUUCUAUUGUGGUAUUUGACUGACUUCCUUUAACUGAAUUGUCAGGUUUGCCAUCUAAACACAGGAAUGGAUAAAUUGAGGGAUUCAUUGUUGAUUGAUUGUCACUCUGGUUUGAUUGGUUUCUGUGUGAACAUACUGGUGUUUGUUUCUUCUGGAGUGGAACUGCUGCUAUGGGCUCACAUCACAUCAAGAUACAGAAAUAGCAUUGACUUCACCACAAAGGUUCUCUUGGGGUCCUUGCCAGUCAAUCUCUGCCAUUCCCACAUACCUAGCAACCACUAAUUUGCUUUCAGUCACUCUGGAAUAAAUUCAUAAUUCUGAGAGUUUUGUAGAAACAGCGUGUUCAUACAGAUAAUAUGAUCUUUGUUUCUUGACUUUUUUUUGUUAAGCAUGUUUUUGGAUUCAUCCAUGUUGCAAGUUGCACGUAUCAGUAGUUUAUUCCUUUUUAUUACCAAGUAGCAUUUCACUUUAUGAAUUUACCACAGUUUGUUUAUCCACUGAGGUGCUGAUGGGCAUUGGGUUGUUUCUGGGUUUUGGCUGUUAUGAGUAAAGUUGCUAUAAACAUUCAUAUGCAAGCCUUUGUGUGGACACGUUUUUAUUCCUCUUAAUAAAUACCAAGGAGUGAAAUUGCAGGCUACAGUUAAGUACAUCUUUGGUUUCUUAAAAAACUGCCAAACUCUUUUCUAAAGUGGUUAUGCUAUUUUAUAUUCAGACCAGCAAUAUAGGAAUGUUCCAAUUCUGCAUGUUUGGCAACACUUGACAUUAUCAGUCUUUUAAAUUAUAGUCAUUAUAUGGGUGUAGUAAUAUCUCAUGUUUUUAAUUUGCAUUUCCUUAAUGACAUGAUGUUGAGCAUCUUUUCACGUGUUUAUUGGUCUUUCAUGUAUCUUUUGUGACUAGUCUUUUCAAAUAUGUCACCCAUUCUAAUAAAUUAGGUUGUUUCUCUUAUUCUUGAGUUGUAGCCAUUCUUUUGUCAUUUGGAUACCAGUCUUUUGUCAGAAUAAAUCAUUUUUUUCCAUGUGUAGCCCUACUGUCUUCAAGACCCACAGUUCUCUUCGCCAUUCCUUAAAUAGGCUAAAACCAAAUGUGUCUUCCAAGACUUUGUCCUCUGCUGCCUGGGGUGCUGGCCAAACCUUCAGAGUGGUCUUUUUGGUAGCACCUUUCUUAACCUUCCUACUUAAAAUAGUAAUACCCCAUGGCCUGGCACCUCCACCCCUUUUCUCUGUUUUAUUUCUUCAUAGCACAUGUCCACC